UUUAACGGCCGCGGUACUUUGACCGUGCGAAGGUAGCGUAAUCACUUGUCUUUUAAAUGGAGACCUGUAUGAAUGGCAAAACGAGGGCUAAGCUGUCUCCUCUUUCCAGUCAAUGAAAUUGAUCUCCCCGUGAAGAAGCGGGGAUAUAAACAUAAGACGAGAAGACCCUAUGGAGCUUUAGACCCCCGAGCAGACUAUGUUAAAAACCCUUAAUGCAAGGUAGGAACAAAAUACCCCCUGCUCAGGUGUCUUCGGUUGGGGCGACCACGGGGAAAUAAAAAACCCCCACGCGGAGUGGAAACACACCUUCUAAAACUAAGAGCUCCCGCUCUAAUUAACAGAAUUUCUGACCACAGAGAUCCGGCAAAGCCGAUCAACGGAACGAGUUACCCUAGGGAUAACAGCGCAAUCCCCUUCUAGAGUCCCUAUCGACGGGGGGGUUUACGACCUCGAUGUUGGAUCAGGACAUCCUAAUGGUG
rnacentral:rRNA from 1 species